AGUCAGAAUUAAGGGCUGUGAUACAAAAUGAAGCAGGGCAGUUGCUGAGAGUGACUGGAGCGCUAUUUUAUGGUCAUUGGAGAAGACCUCUCUGUGAAGGUGACGUUGGAGCAGAGACAGAAAUUGAAUGAGAAAGCAAGCUGUGUCCCAUCAGGGGGAAGGGCAUUCUGGGUAGAGAGAUGAGCAAGUCAGAAGCCUUGAAGUGGGAACAUGCCCCACCCGUUUGAAGACUUGCAAGGAGGCUAAAGUGGCUGGAGCAGAGAGAGUAGGGGGAGGAGCGGCAGGGAAAGAGAUGAGAGAAGCAGCCAGAGGCCACAUCACGCAGGUCAGGGAAAGGACUUAGAAUUUUUUUCAAAGUAUGAUGGGAAACCUUGGAGAGCUUUGAGAUGGCAACAACAAGAUCUCGUUUGCAUUGCAAAGGGUCUUCCGGGCUGUUGCUUGGAGAGCCUGCCUUAAGGGAAGCAGAGGCGAAGCGGCUGGGGAAGCCCUUGUGAGGAUGUCUUCACUUGAUGGGGCAGCCCCUGGGAGAGCAGCCAGCACUUCCUGCUCCUGAAUAUACUUUGAUCCCAGACUGAGCGCCAAGCCGGAAGUGGUGAGGAGGCUCCACCACGAGGAGCUGGUGGAAGAUAUUUGCAGAGAAGAGGUGGAAGAACGUUUAUAGGGGCAGAAGAGUUCUUUGAUCCGUUCAGGAAAUCCAUCAUUUCUGCUUCUUUGCUUUUCUGGCAUUGUGCCAAUGAUGAACAGAACACUGAAUCUGCCUCUCAAGAAUCCCACAGUUCAACAGAUGACACAAAUCAAACACAGAAAAUGAUAGAAAGUGUGAUAAGAACUAUAAGGGAGGCAUGCACGGAGUCCAAAGGAGCAGACUCCUCAGUAAAGUCUUGAAUGGCACAGAACUCCUAAAACCCUUGGAAUUGCCUACUGAUAAGAGCAAUGAGAACAUCUUUGAUAUAAUAUAGUAUUUAGUCUUUUGUCCUCCAUUCCUGAAAUAGCUACAGAGCCAUAAAAGUAAAAGGAGUAUCUCUUGAUUCAUAACAAGUCCCUUUCCACCACAUGUGAGUUUAUGUUAAUGAGUUGACUUUCAUAAAGUCCCUAAGGUUGGGAGCUGGUUGCCAGGGGAACCAACUGUGUGAUUAGAGGGCCAGAGCUUUCAGUCCCACUCCUCCAUCUCUGGGGAGGAGGGAGGAGCUGGAGGUUGAAUCAAUCACCAAUAGCGAGUGAUUUAAUCAAUCAUGCCUACAUAAUGAAGCCUCCAUAAGAACCCUAAAGGAUGGGAUUCCAAGAGCUUCUGGGUUGGUGAACAUGUGGAGGUGCUAGAAGGGUGGCAUGCACUGAAGCUCUGUACUCCUUCCCUCAUACCUUGCCCUUUGCUUGUCUUCCACUGGGCUAUUCCUGAGUUAUAUCCUUUCAUAAUAAAUCAGUAAUACAGUAAGUAAACUGUUUUCUGGAGUUUUGUGAACUGUUCCAGGAAAUUAAUUGAAUCUGAGGAGGCGUUCAUAGGAACCUCCGAUUUAUAAUCAGUGGGUCAGAAGCACAGGUAUCAACCUAGACUUGGGAUUGUCGUCUGAAGGGAGGGGAGCAGUCUUGUGGGAAUGAACACUUAACUUGUGAGAUCUGACACUAUCUCCAGAUGGAAAGUGUCAGAAUUGAGUUAAAUUAUAGGACACCCAUUGCUGUUGCAGAAUUGCUUGAUGUGUGAAAAACCCACACAUCUCGUGUCGGAAGUGAAGUUGCCGAGUAUUAUGGUAGAGUGUCGAAAGUAGAGGAGACACGCAGGAGGAGUGUGUUUUUCCUUUAGAGGAUUCUGGAGUCAAAAAGGAAAUUUAAUUAUUAAAAACAGAAAAAGAAGAUCUCCGGCCCACCUAAAUGUGUCACGUCCCCUAGAAGUUUGAAACACGAGCAGUGGUGUGUGCUCAAGCUGGCUCAUACUGGCUCAUGAGAGCUAAUUGUUAAAUUUUCAGGUAUUUUGUUAGCUGGUUGUUAAACACAGCCAUUAUGAAAUAUUAAAUGAUAUCAACUUAUAAUAAAUACGUUAUAUUAAAA
rnacentral:lncRNA from 1 species